AUUGAACGCUGGCGGAAUGCUUUACACAUGCAAGUCGAACGGCAGCACGGACUUCGGUCUGGUGGCGAGUGGCGAACGGGUGAGUAACAUAUCGGAACGUAUCCAAUAAUGGGGGAUAACGAGUCGAAAGAUUCGCUAAUACCGCAUACGCCCUACGGGGGAAAGCAGGGGAUCUUCGGACCUUGCGUUAAUGGAGCGGCCGAUAUCUGAUUAGCUAGUUGGUGAGGUAAAGGCUCACCAAGGCGACGAUCAGUAGCUGGUCUGAGAGGACGACCAGCCACACUGGAACUGAGACACGGUCCAGACCCCUACGGGAGGCAGCAGUGGGGAAUCUUCCGCAAUGGACGAAAGUCUGACGGAGCAACGCCGCGUGAGUGAAGAAGGUUUUCGGAUCGUAAAACUCUGUUUUCAGGGACGAAUGUGCGAUGUGUAAAUAAUGCAUUGUAAUGACGGUACCUGAGUAGAAAGCCACGGCUAACUACGUGCCAGCCGCCGCCGUAAUAC
rnacentral:rRNA from 1 species